rnacentral:rRNA from 1 species
UGGGGAAUUUUGGACAAUGGGCGAAAGCCUGAUCCAGCCAUGCCGCGUGAGUGACGAAGGCCUUAGGGUUGUAAAACUCUUUCGUCGGGGACGAUAAUGACGGUACCCGAAGAAGAAGCUCCGGCUAACUUCGUGCCAGCAGCCGCGGUAAUACGAAGGGAGCUAGCGUUGUUCGGAAUCACUGGGCGUAAAGCGCACGUAGGCGGAUAGUUAAGUCAGGGGUGAAAUCCUGGGGCUCAACCCCAGAACUGCCUUUGAUACUGGCUGUCUCGAGGUCGAGAGAGGUUGGUGGAAUUCCUAGUGUAGAGGUGAAAUUCGUAGAUAUUAGGAAGAACACCAGUGGCGAAGGCGGCCAACUGGCUCGAUACUGACGCUGAGGCGCGAAAGCCAGGGGAGCAAACGGGAUUAGAUACCCAAGUAGUCCCUGAGCGGGCUGGCAAGGCGCAU